rnacentral:misc_RNA from 1 species
GAUGAAGAACGCAGCAAAAUGCGAUAAGUAAUGUGAAUUGCAGAAUUCAGUGAAUCAUCGAAUCUUUGAACGCACAUUGCGCCCGCCAGUAUUCUGGCGGGCAUGCCUGUUCGAGCGUCAUUUCAACCCUCAAGCACAGCUUGGUGUUGGGACUCGCGUUAAUUCGCGUUCCUCAAAUUGAUUGGCGGUCACGUCGAGCUUCCAUAGCGUAGUAGUAAAACCCUCGUUACUGGUAAUCGUCGCGGCCACGCCGUUAAACCCCAACUUCUGAAUGUUGACCUCGGAUCAGGUAGGAAUACCCGCUGAACUUAAGCAUAUCAAAAGCGGGGA